CAUUAAGGGGUCCUUAUUUUCUUGGUAUUAGGACCUUUCAAGUAGGGGCACCAAAUUUCACAGGGAAUGGCCCAAAGAGCUAGAGAAAUAGAAAAUAAUCUCUUAACCAGCGAGAGUUUCAUAGAAACCCUUGCUGCAGCAUGCGACAGAAUACCGUGUUAUGGCUCAAUGGCAAGCUCCAGCGCACACCAAACUACGGAGGAAGAGGUCUGCACGCUAUUUCGCCGAGGCUCUCAACCAGGCGAACGUUUCCCUGCUCACCUAUGGUGAACUAGGCUGCUGUUGCUGCCCUCAGUGACGACAGCCUUCUUGCCCCGGCACCCAGAAAAGCAGGAGACAACUACGCAUCCACCUCCUCAGGAAGCCUUUGUUCUUUGGGGCUCCUCUAGAGCGUUCAAGACCAAAGACUCCAUGGACCUGACACUGCUGCUUGCUUGCGGUCAGCCGACUCAGCAAAUUCUUGUUCUUCAGAACCUUUCUCAAGAUCCUCCAAGGCUUGAAGAAGCUCCAGGUUGGCUGGCACAUGCCCCCGCAAGCUUUGUGUCCCCGUAAAAAGUUCUCUCCUCUGGGAGGGCUUCAGCCGCCAUUCAUAUGCUUCCCUACCAUUGUCCACCAUGUCGCAAAACAUUUUCGCCUUGAUGCUCUUUUCCAGCAUGGUAGCAGAGGGCAACCCCCGGCUCCCAAAGAUGCUGUGGGCCAGUUCCAGCUCACAGCGCGAGGGGAAGAGGGUCCGGCCGAGGGCCAUUUCCCCCAUCACGCAGGCUAAAGACCACAUGUUGAUCUUUGCUGUGCAGGGAUAGACCAGUAGGACCCCAGGAGCUCUGUCGAAUCUGAAAGAGUAAACAAUUGCAGAGGUAGACAAAUUAUUUUUAAAACAGGAAGUCUGCAUUUUCAGAGCAAAUAGCUGUCCUCAGUCCCCGUGCCUACUUCUACACGCAAUUUCCACUCAAGAUGCAAAAAUAUUAUUGCAUAUCCAGGUUACUGUUUUGGACUAAAUCGUGUUUUCAUAGUAAAGUUUCGUGCUAUUUUUCUCCACAAGUUGGGAAUGUUCAAUCGUACACAGUGGAGCUGAGAACACAUUUUUCAUUUAUUCACAGCUCUAUUGCGCCUCCAUGAGUUUAAAUUGGGCCUGUCCUAAACUAAUACAAAGUGGCCCACAUUGUAGGCCAGCGUAAUGCUUUCCACAUUUUCAAGUGUUUGAUGUAAAACAUCUUAACUUUUGUAGCUUUGUGGUCUGAACACAAUUAGCCUACCCAGGAUAACUGAAAUCCCAAUUUAGCUUAAUUUUCUGUACGUACUGCUAGUAAAGUGAGUUGUUUAUGUCAAAGAAUAAAUGUUCUGACAUUUACAGCAAAUGUCAUGCGAACCUGGGCUGAAUGUAGGGCAUCCACAUUGAAGCCAGGUCAUGGGCAGUUUUGGCGGAGCCAAAGUCCACCAGUUUUACUCGUAAUGGCUGAUGGCGCUUGAUGUUUUCCUGCUUGAUGUCCGCGUGAACGAUACCCAUAUCUUUCAGUUUGGCCAGGGCUGUGACCACCUGGCGAACAACCGUCCAGAUGUCCCGUAUUUUAAACUUCUUCAGCGGCUUUCUGGAAGGCAUCCAGGGUCUGGUCCAUUACCUCUUCCACCAAGUAAAUGUGAAACUCGUCCGCGAAAGCUUCGUAAAAGCGAACGGUGUGGUGAUCAAAAGCAUUCUCGACCGUUAGAGCAGCGAGAGGUCGUGCUUGUUGAAUGCAUAUCCUCAUGUGAACACGGGGUAUUCUCUUCACGGCCACCAUUUUCUGGUCACUCCGACGCUGGAACCUGGCGACCUCGGCGAACAUACCAUGGCCUAAGCUCUCUACAAAAUCGUACUCUUCGGUGUCUGAGGACAACAUGCUGAAAGCUUUGUCCUGCCGCAAAGAACGUGACUUUGUACAAGGUACAAGUAACUUUACUUGUUUUUGUGUGAAAUUUAUAUAUGGAAUUUCUAACGCGUUGAUAUUCCACAUGGACUUCUCUUGCGUCACAUGUUAGUUGUAAUAACUAAAAAAUGUAUUCAAUGAAUGGAAAACAUCAAGCAAAAAUGAACUUCCAAUAUAUAAAAAAAUCUGUUAAAAUUGUGUACUGCUUCUUGGACUCCUGGAUAGCCCCAGAUCCAGAAUUUAAAUUAAGCAGGGUGAAUUUAACUAAAUUAGUUGAGAAUUAAAUCACUAUUCCUACCUAUGAAUUGUGCCUGGGGUCCAAGUACCACCACCAAAUGCUCACAUAUCACUGUGAAUGUAAGUUUAGAAGUACAGUAAAAAUAUGCCUGUGACCCCUGCACAUGACAUUAUCUGACAUGGAUGUCAGUGUAUUCUCUCUACUACCAAAUAUCAACUUUUUGAAACUGUAAACGAUGCUGAUGCACCUUUAUUAAAAAUAAAAGAAAAUGCUUCCAAA